UAGUCCUAGCCAUAAACGAUGUUGACUAGGUGUCAGCGGUCUAAACCCCGUUGGUGCCGGAGCAAACGCACUAAGUCAACCGCCUGGGGACUACGGCCGCAAGGUUAAAACUCAAAGGAAUUGACGGGGACCCGCACAAGCAGCGGAGCGUGUGGUUUAAUUCGAGGCUACGCGAAGAACCUUACCAGGGAUUGACAUGACGGUAGUAGUGAAGCGAAAGCGGAACGACCCUUCGGGGAGCCGUCACAGGUGAUGCAUGGCUGUCGUCAGCUCGUGCCGUGAGGUGUUUGGUUAAGUCCACUAACGAGCGCAACCCCUAGUGCCAGUUACACGUGUCUGGCACGACUGCCGGUAUUAAGCCGGAGGAAGGUGGGGAUGACGUCAAGUCAGCAUGUCCUUUAUAUCCUGGGCUACACACACGCUACAAUGGCCGGUACAAUGGGUUGCCAAGCCGCGAGGCGGAGCCAAUCCUCAAAAGCCGGUCUCAGUUCGGAUUGCGGGCUGCAACUCGCCUGCAUGAAGUCGGAGUCGCUAGUAACCGCAGGACAGCUAUACUGCGGUGAAUACGUUCCCGGGUCUUGUACACACCGCCCGUCACGUCAUGGGAGCUGG
rnacentral:rRNA from 1 species